rnacentral:lncRNA from 1 species
UGGGUUCGAUCCUCAGUACCACAUAAAAAUAAAUAAAUAAAAUAAAGAUAAUUGUGUCCAUCUGCAAUUUAAAAAAAUUUAAAAAGAUCAGGUGUUCUACUCUAAGAUUAGGAACAAGAUGAGCUUUCCAGUUCUCACCACGUCUAUUGAAUGAAGCUGUGACAGGAUAUCCCAUUGUACACACAUAAAGAAAAAGAUACUAGAGCUAAUAAAUGAGUCUGUAAUGAUUGCAGGAUACUAGACCACUGUCCAAAAUUCUACUGUAUUCUUGUACACUAGCAAUUAAAAUCCCAAAAACUAAAUUAAGAAAUUCCAUUUAUAUUUUCAUCAAAAAUAUUUAAGAAUAAAUAUAACAAAAUGAAACAUUUGCUUACUAAAACCACAAAUCAUUGAAAAAUUACAGAUGAUCUAAAUGAAUGGAUAAAUAUUCCAUGUUCAUGGAUCAAAAGUCUUAAUAUUGUUAACAUGGCAAUACUCUCCAAAUGGAUAUACAGGUUUGAAAGAACGAUCAAGGCUUGUUGGUUGGUGGUAUUGGGUGGGAGAGGUUUGGCCUCUAUGAUGGAUGAGAGGGAAAGGACAGCAUAUCCCGCCACUUUAACCCCUUCGUGUAUAAAGGAGCUACCAUCUGAUAACCAGACAGGUCCAAAGAGGGCAGGAGUCCCUCAGAAAUGGUGGUAGGGCAGGGUAAAAUCGUCUCUAAUACCUCCAGGCAUUUGUGGAAAGGAUCUUGUGAGGGAGAAGAUGGGAGGAGGAAGGCAGUGUUUAAUGAAGAGCAGGACUGAAAAGAGAUGGAGGGAUUUUCAAGGAAUGAGACAAGGAGGGAUAGAACCCUGGAAGGAGGAAGUGACUGUAGCCCCUUGAAAGUGAGGAAAUCCUCACCAUCUAGUGAGGAGAUGAGAUGGUUAGCGGGGAGGCAAAGGUAAGCUUGUGUGCUUCUUUCUGGAGGUCAUGGGCCGCUGCUAGGGCUCUGAGGCAUGGGGGCUAGCCCUGAUGGUGGGGUCGAUCUGUUUGGAUAGGUAGGCCACUGGUGCAAAUGUGGGGCCAUAUUCCUGACCCAGAAUGCCCAGACUUUGCCCCUGUUUUUCAUGUACAUAGAGGGUGAAGGGUCAGGAGAGGUCGGGGAGAUGCAGGGCGGGUGCCCAGAGGAGGGCCUUUUUGUAAAGGGCUUCCCUACUGCUGAGGGUAGGGGUUCAUCUUGGGGGCCCUCGGCUAGAUUAUAUAGUGGCCUGGCGAGGAGGGAGAAAUUCAAAAGUAAUCCAGGCCCUGAAGUACCCAGCCAAACCCAAGAAGGAGAGUCAUCUUUGGUCUUCAGUGUCUUUAGACCCAGUGAGUUGUUUUCUGUCUACUGUAAUGGCCUUUUUCCCUUGAGAAAUAGAGAACCCUAGAUAGUGACCUCUUUACAUGCUAUUUGGGCCUUUUGUGGAGAGGCCCGAUAUCCCUUUAAGGCCAAGAAAUUAAGUAGGAGAACUGUGUCAUCUGUUGAGUGCCCUUUGGACGGGCUACAGAGGAGAAGAUCAUCAACAUAUUGCAAGAGGGUGGAUUUGGGGCACUGGGGGUGAAAAAAUUGGAGGUUGGAGGCCAAGGUUUAUCCAAAGAGGUGUGGACUAUCUCGAAAUCCCUGAGGAAGGACAGUCCAGGUUAGUUGUGGAGAAUGUCUGGUGGUGGGAUCUGUCCAGGUAAAGAUCUUGUGAUUCGGGGGCAAGGGGAAUGGAGAAGAAAGCAUCCUUUAAAUCUAUGGCCGAGAAGUGGGUGGCAGUGUGGGGGAUCUGAAACAGCAGGGUGUAUGGGUUGGGAACCAAAGGAUGUAUGGGCCUAACUGGAGGUGUUGAUGAGUCUAAGCCUGAACUAAGCGAUAGGACCCAUUGGGCUUUCUUCCACUAGUAUGGGAGUAUUGUAAGGGGAAUGAGCAGGACGGAGGUACCUCUUGCUAAGAAGGUCCUGAAUAAUAGGUUGUAGGCCCAGAAGAGCUUUUGUGGACAGGGGAUAUUGAGCCUGAUUGGGGAAGGUGUUAGGAUCUUUGAGAUGAAUGUUAACUGGUGGGCAGGAAACCGUGGAGGGGGUGUGGGUAUCCCAUACAAUUGGGUCAACCAGGUUCGUAGGGAAGGGAUCCUUUUUCAUGUCAGUCUCACAAGUGGAGCAGAAUGGCCAGUCUUCUGCCAAAAGGGCCCGAAAAGAUGAACAGGCCGAUUCUGGGGCCUGAUUGAUGCCAGGAGCCUGGAUGUUGAUUGUUGUAUUAAAUUUAGAGAGAAUAUCUCGGCCGAGCAAAGGAGCUGGACAUUGAGGCAUAACUACAAACGUCUGAGAGACUGGGAAGUUGUCUAUGGAACAGAGUAAUAGGGGAAUCUUUUUUGGAUAGAUGGUCCUUCCUCCUACCCCGACAAUAGGAGAGAGAGACGGCACUGUUUGCCCCCAGAAUUCUGUCAGGACUGAGAAAGUAGCCCUGGUGUCAAGGAGAAAGUCAACCUUGCUCCCAUCCACCUGAAUCCACACCCUGGGUUCUUAAUUGUUACGGCCGGCCAGGAACAAGGACCCAAGGCUCUGUCAAUCUUUGAUUUGUAUGCCCAGAAGGUCAGAGGAUUCCCUGGCUAUAGGCUUCCUACGGAAACUAGGACAGUCAGAACCCCAAUGACCUUGUUCUUUCAAGGUUCAGUACAACCCCUAUCAAUAUUUUGUAGAAAUUAGGAAGCUGAUUUUUUUAAAAUUUUGAAUUCAUAUGAACAUUCAAAGGACACAGAAUAGUUUUAAUAUUCUUGAAAAAAAACAGGAGUCACACUUUUUAAUUUCAAAACUUAAUGCAAAGCUACAAUAAUCAAGACAAUGAGGUACUUAGAUAAGAAUAGACAUACAAGUCAAUGGCAUAGAAUUGAGAGUCCAGAAAUAAACCUAUACAUUUAUAGUCACAGGGCUUCUGAUAUGGGUGCCAAGACAGUUCAGUGAGCAGAAGAAGAGUCUUUUCAACAAUUGGAUCCGGAACAACUGGAUAUUGUUGAAAAUGAGAUUGGACCCUUACCUCAAACCAUAAAUAAUUAAUGCCAUAUAGAUAAAGAUCUAAAUGUAAGAACUAAAAACUAUACAGCUUUCUAAUAUUCAGGUAUAUUAAGGACUCUUACAACUCAACAAUAAAAACACAACCCAUUUCAAUUAAAGCUCGAGAAGUCCUACUUGGCUGUGUGCAGCCUCAGACCAGUUGCACUGCAUGGUAACUUGCUGUGCUAUGCAUUAGCUUACCUUAUCUCUCUGUUCCUCGAUUUGGGAG